GAGGGUGGUUAAACACUGGACAGGUUGCCCAGAGAGGUGGUAGAUGGCCCAUCCCUGGAAACUUUCAAGGUCAGGUUCGACGGGGGUCUGAGCAACCUGAUCUAGUUGAAGGUGUCCUUGCUCAUUGCAGGGGGGUUGGAAUAGAUGACCUUUAAAGGUCCCUUCCAGCCAAACCAUUCUAUGACUCUUUGACUCUGUGAAAAAAAGUUUCUUCAAAGUUGUUGAAGCAUGCUGUCAAGGUGGUUGAGACAGCCUUACUGACCCUAGAAGCUGAUAGUGCCAGUGGCAUGUAAUUCUUAUGAAAGGAACUUAAAAAAAGGACCCUAAAAUCAAGAAAGAUGCAUCCACUUUGUUGUCUUUGGCUGAAAGUUUAUCAAGCUUCCUGGCAUAUUUUUCCAUGAUAAAUUAUAUACAAAUUGUUCCUCGUGGUAGUCAUCUCAAUCAGAGUCACGUUUAGUUUGGUCAGAUUUUUUCCUUCCCUUAAAAGAAGACCACAAUCAAACAGUUGAAUAUCCGGGCUAGAUUAGAUAGUCUUGUGGAUUUUUAAAAUUUUUUUUGUUGGGCUUUUUUUGGGCCAAAUUUGGAAUAAAAUCACUGAAAGAUUUUUUGGUCCAAAGGUCUUUGGCACACAUUCUCUUUCCUGAAAAUUACAUCCGUUUAUGGUCCUGGGAUGUUUAUGAAAUUACAUGGAACUAUUUUUGAGUGUCUGUCAGUGGAAUUUGAGUAUACCUUUAAGGCACUUAACAAGAAGAUUAUGCUGAGCAAGUUGAAGACAUGAAUUUAUAUGGUUCUUCUUUUGUCAUAGCAGAAUGUCAGAAAAAUCCGAGAUGAAGAAAUUAGUUUUGUAUUGAAGAGAGUACAGUUUCACGGCAACUUCUCUCUCACAGGAGUAAUUUCUGUAGUUCAAACAUUACUUGUAUGAAAACUUUGCUAUCUUUGCCUACCAGUCACCCAUCAUGCACCAAAGCUUGGUUCUGACUCUCCCAAAGUGAGCUGUUCUCCUGCAAAGGAGGUGAUUUUUCUUUGGUGUUUGCUUUCUAGCUCAUGAAAGCUUAAAACAGCAGGAGAGAGGCUUAGCGCUUCACUUAAUAUUUUCAAGUUGAGCCAAGGGAAAGAAUGGGGCAUGGGAGAGAGACCCAUCUUUCUGAGCAGCUGCCUUUAUAUUAGUUGUGGCCUGUUCUUUGGCUUCAAUCCAAUUAUCCAAUAUAUUUUUAGGCCCCUUUAAUUCAGUAUAGCAGCUGAAAACAAGGAGAGGUAGCUCAUGUGAUAUGUUCAGUUCAUAGCAGACCCCACCAGCAGCGCUAAGCACCAGCAUGUCAGGAAGAAGGAUCAGCAGUGAAUUCCUUUUUAACAAUAGCCUUUUCUAUAGAGUUCGUGGGUUUUUUAAAUCAAUUUAGGCUUCAGAGUCUGAUAAUAUGCAAAGGAGACCUGAUGACGUUAUCGUGAAACUUGAAUCCAAGUUUUGAAGCAAUGUUGCAUGGUUCUGUAGACUUGCAUUCUGAUAAUUUGGGUAUCCUCUCCUGUGACUAGUAGACAUAUGCUUUCUUUUUAUACUGGACCUUCUGGAUUAGAAAGUUUAGGAUCAGGUUGGAUUCUUCUGAAUCUGUUUCUCCCAAGUGUAAUCCAGAUGUCUUGCAGCUGGAAGAAUAGUUCCUUAGAAAUCAAAUGUGUUGGAUGAUUUUUUCAUUCCCUUAUCUUUACCUAAAUCUCCUGCUUAUUUCAAACUGAAGCUUUAUGUGAGUAAGUUUGGCAGGAACUGGAUCAUAAUUGAGUUUAGAAGAAGCUGAGACACAAAGGCUGUUAAAAAAAAUGUUCCAAUGCUAGUAUCUAUUAAGUAAGAAGAUAGAUGCCAAAUGCUAAAGAGUUUACCAAAAACCAACAAAAAUUUAGUGCUAAAAGGCUAUACUUAAGAAAAGCAGAGAAAUUUCAGAAAGCAAACCCAUGCACUGCUAUUGAGAGAAGUUGCUGUAUAUGGACACAGGAAACAAAUUUCCAAAUUGUGCAUUGCUAUGUAUGUGUUCUUGUCCUCAAAUGCAAACUGAAUGGAGCACAAGGUUAAUGAGCUUCAGACCAAGCUGAAGCAAGCACACAAGGAGUUAGGACAAAGUGGAGUAACUCCUGGAAAUGGUAUACAGCAUGCUAUUACUAUGUCAAGAGGAAGAAACCCAGACUGCUGUCAGAAAUGAACUAGGAAUAUGGUUCUAACACUAGUACAACCUUAUUGUUGCUUAUCUAAGAGGUGACAUGCUGCGAUUCUGAGUCUGUAUCUGGUCUAUAUGGAUGUCUAUGAAAUUAGAGCAUCAAUGCUGUAAGAAAAAGCAAUGAUUAAGAAGGUCAAGCUGGGUAAGACCCCUGGGGAUAUGUUUGCAGCAUGAACUACAAGAAUGCGAUCAGGCAUUUCAAGUUAUUAAUGAGAUGCACUUCUGGUAUCUUUAAACAGUGCUGAUUAUUUUUUUUACCCAGGCUGAAAUGAUGUGGAGAAGAGUGGGAUUAUGUUUGAGCAGUUCAUUAACGUCAGAAAAAAAUAAAUGAGGGCAUUGAACUAGAUACUACUAGUAAAAUGCAUCCUUGCUUCUUGGUACAUGAUAAAGUAGUCAUGUCAGGCAACACAGAAUUUAACCACCUCUACUGUGGGCAAUACAGAGCUUCUCAUUGCUCCGAGGGCAUCAAACUGGUGCGGCUACUAGGUCUUAUUUAUGGUGAAACGAAAGAGCAAGGAAACUUAUAAAAAUUAUGGGUUGUCUUUGUCACAGAGAGUGGAGAGAGGAGAACUGGCUAUCACAAAGGUCUGUAAAAUCAAAAUUGAACCUGAUGCACAUGCAAUGAUUUUCACAUAAUACAGCAACUUCAAGUGAAACUGGUAGGUAAUGGACCCUGAGCGAAUGAAAAAAAAGCUACUACUUAAGUUGCACAAUGUAUAAUUAAGCUGUGGAACUCAUUGCCUCAGGUAGAAAUGCUAGAAAUGGAAAGCAAUUAGAUACCAGUUCUGACUCAGGCAGGCCUCAUAGUGUUUUGUCAGAAGGUGGAAGAGUGUUAUGGGUACAUUGUAUAGUACAUGCCUGACCUAUUCUCAGAUUUUCUCUGGGUAUGUACUAUUGGCACCUACUCUUGGCAGAUCAUGUUAGCCAGGGAAAGGUGGAGACAGUCUCCUACCAAAAAUUAAGCAGCUGAGGUUCCUGGGAAAUUACAGGGAUCAGCACAUCUGGAGUGUGAAGGAUUGGCUUCACCCUAGAAAACCCACCUUCCAUGACCAUGGUGUCUCCCCUACCAGGGAAACAAAAGGCUACUGGGCUAGACAGACUGUUGGGCUGAUCCUGUAUUGCAGUAGUAAUGUUUAUAUUUGCUUCUGAAAAGUGGGCCCUUGCUCUGUUAGUGUUUCCUCCCUUAUAAAACAGAAGUCAUUCUUUUGCCUCUGUACAGUUCAUUCUGUUAUUUGUAGAAUACUUUCAGGAGCCCAGGUGAAAGGGUAUUCUAGAUGCUUGAAUUAUUACUGUUAGUAUUGAGUAUGGUUGUUUUGUUGAGGGCUUUUUUCCAGCUGAAAGUGGGUUUGACUGAAAGGAAACAUAUUUUUGGAAGAAAACUAUAUUGGUGGAAAUUGUUUAUAACUCUGGGUAGUAAAGAAAGCCAAUAAAAGUGGAUUUCUUUAAAAAAAGGGAUUUUGUUUUGUGAAAAUUAUUUCCCCUUGAUUUUAAUUAGAAGUAUUAUUACUUAUGGAAAAACGAUGUUUAAUUCAUCAUGGGAAAAUGGUAAAAACCUUAAACAAAAUGAAGAGUUUUGGGGAGAAAGUAAUUUCCUCAGCUGCAUUCUAUCUAUUUGCUUAGGUAUUGACGGAAAAUUUUCUUUGAAGCUGUCAUCUCAUUCAGAAAGCAGAUUCUGAGCUUAAUGAAAAUUUUCAGCAAAUAUCUGCUCUGUGUGUAAAGUGCAUCCAUUUUGUUUUUUCAAGACAAAUAUGUUUUUGAAAGAAUCAUCAUACUGCAGCUGGAAAUUUUCUGUGAUAAUACAGUAUUUUGAAAUCUUGGGUCGUGGGGAGAAAAAUUCUUACCUCUUCAGGUUGUGGUCAUGCGGUAGGUUAUAUGAUGACUUGCUUGAUUGUUCAGGUUGCAGGUAAGAGUUUUAUUUCAAUAUUCUGGUCAUAAAAGAGGUUCUGUUAUUUUCUGAUGUAAGCCACAUUAAAAUCAGCAUUGUUCUCAUGUUGGAGGGCCUCAAAAAGCUUCAGGCUGAAAAAAUAAAAAAAUAAAAAAAAAAGAAGUGAUUUAGUCUUAUUUACAGCAGUCCUGUCCUUUUUCCCUUCCAAUGUUAAGCUGAUGCUAAAAGUACCUGUUUAAGCCUAUCACAUAGUGCUAUUAAUAGUGAGAGGGUAUUGAUUUUUUUAACUUGUAAGAACUCAUGCCAUUCUACUUCUCAUUUUAUAAGAACAGAGCAUCUCAAGCAAGUGGGAAAAGCGUUUGUUUACCUGCCUUAUAGUUGGUGUUAUGGAAACACAAACACUCUUGAAAGACAAAGCAAAAUGGAAAAAGUGUUGAAACUGGUAUGGAUGCAGUGCUGAGCUUCUACCUUGGUAGUGAAGCAUCAGCAACCAGAAGGAACAUCUGCAGCAGAAGAAGGCCAGAUGUUUCACCCUGCUAUGUUAAGUCAUCUUGACAUACUGCCAUGAAAUGGAAACAACUGCUAGAUUUAACAUUGCUCCAUAUCUUUAUUAAAAGCACUGGCAGAGUCUUUACUCUGCACACCACUGCUGACCCCAGAAAUGACCCACAGGAACUACUGGCGAAAGGAGUGAAAAGGUAUUUCAGCUUAUAGGCAUUAGAAACUCUCUUCAUUAAUAGCCUUUUUGCAGACUUUUCAGAUAGAUUUCCUGUCAUUGUGAUGAGGAUAUAUUUGUAAUGAGGUCCCUUAAGUAAAUGGCCAGUGGAUAAUUAAUUGAACUAACUAGGACUUUCUGUACUGUAUUUUUUUUUUUUUUUUUUUUUUUAGGCAGGGGGAAAGUCUUGCUGAUGGUCUUGUGUCCUCUGUGCUGGAUGUACAGCCCUUUGCCACCUGUUGGCCAAGACUUUCAGCCCUCAUUCAAAUAAAACUCUUAGGCACUCUGUUGAGAGGGAUACAUUUUUUGUUUUGGUUGGCAUCAGAGCUGAAGAAAAUGCACCCAGAAGAUCAGGGACCAGCCAUUAGCCUCUUUAA